GAUGAACGCUAGCGGCAGGCUUAACACAUGCAAGUCGAGGGGUAUUUAUCUUCGGAUAGAGAGACCGCCGCACGGGUGCGUAACGCGUAUGCAAUCUACCUUUUACAGAGGGAUAGCCCAGAGAAUUUUGGAUUAAUACCUCAUAGUAUAUAAAUCCGGCAUCGAGCUUAUAUUAAAGUCACAACGGUAAAAGAUGAGCAUGCGUCCCAUUAGCUAGUUGGUAAGGUAACGGCUUACCAAGGCUACGAUGGGUAGGGGACCUGAGAGGGAGAUCCCCCACACUGGUACUGAGACACAGACCAGACUCCUACGGGAGGCAGGAGUGAGGAAUAUUAGACAAUGGGCGCAAGCCUGAUCCAGCCAUGCCGCGUGCAGGAUGACGGUCCUAUGGAUUGUAAACUGCUUUUAUACGAGAAGAAACACUGCUACGUGUAGCAGCUUGACGGUAUCGUAAGAAUAAGGAUCGGCUAACUCCGUG
rnacentral:rRNA from 1 species